rnacentral:rRNA from 1 species
UAAGGGAUAUUGCGCAAUGGGCGAAAGCCUGACGCAGCAACGCCGCGUGGAGGAUGAAGGCCUUCGGGUUGUAAACUUCUUUUAGCAGGGACGAGGAAGGACGGUACCUGCGGAAUCAGUCACGGCUAACUACGUGCCAGCAGCCGCGGUAAAACGUAGGUGGCAAGCGUUAUCCGGAAUUACUGGGCGUAAAGGGUGUGCAGGCGGGAGUGCAAGUGGUGUAUGAAAACGUCCGGCUUAACCGGGCGCUGUUAUGCCAGACUGCAGUUCUAGAGGACGAGAGAGGGGGGUGGAAUUCCGGGUGUAGUGGUGAAAUGCGUAGAGAUCCGGAGGAACCCCAGAGGCGAAGGCGGCCCCCUGGCUCGUACCUGACGCUCAGCCACGAAAGCAUGGGGAGCGAACGGGAUUAGAUACCCCCGUAGUCC